rnacentral:lncRNA from 1 species
CCCUCCCCCAGCCUCGCUGCCGCCUUGCAGUUUGAUCUCAGACUGCUGUGCUAGCAAUCAGCGAGACUCCCUGGGCGUAGGACCCUCCAAGCCAGAUGCCGGAUAUAAUCUCUUGGUGCGCCGUUUUUUAAGCCCAUCUGAAAAGCGCAGUAUUCGUGUGGGAGUGACCCGAUUUUCCAGGUGUCGUCCCUCACCCCUUUCUUUGACUCAGAAAGGGAACUCCCUGACCCCUUGCGCUUCCCAAGUGAGGCAAUGCCUCGCCCUGCUUUGGCUCGUGCACGGUGCGCACACCCACUGACCUGCGCUCACUGUCUGGCACUCCCUAGUGAGAUGAACCCGGUACCUCAGAUGGAAAUGCAGAAAUCACCCGUCUUCUGCGUCGCUCACGCUGGGAGCUGUAGACUGGAGCUGUUCCCAUUCGGCCAUCUUGGCUCCUCCGAACUCCAAUUUUGAAAUAAAUUAUACUGUGGCUAAAAUGUUGUCAAACAGCAUAACACGCUACAGAGAAAACUUUUAUGAAAGGAAGAGUCAAUAGUUGUAGAAAAAUUUUUGUUGUUUAAUUUUAAGAAAUUAUGACAGCCACCUCAACCUUCAGCAGCCACCACGCUGAUCAGUCCAGCAGACAUCAACACUGAGAUCCAUGCAUCAAGAAGAGCUACAUCCAAGGAAACUCAUCCAUGCCUGGACUUAAUUUAUAUAAUGAAAUUCUGAACUUUCAAUAGAUGCUGUAAUAGGAUGAGAGUUUUGGAGAUCUUGGGAGGGAAUGAAUGUGUUUUGCAUGGGGAAGGGACAUGAAUCACUGAAGCCCAGAUGAUGGACAAUGGCUGACAGACUCUAAAAAUGGCCCCAUGAUCUCCACCUCCUGGUAUCCAUACCUCUACAAUCCCUUCCCCUUAUUCAAUAGAGUACAAAAGAAGGAUAGGAUUUCACUUCUGUUAUUACAUUACAUACAACUGUAGUACCUGUCUUGCUGGAAGACUUCCCCUUUCCUGGCUUUAAAGAAAAAAGUUACAAAUUGUGAACAGCUGUCCCCUGUAGAAGCCAUGUUACAAUGAACUGAGGAAAGCCACCGGCCAACAUCCAGCAAGAAUCUGAGGCCCUCAGUCCGCAUUCCUCAAGAAACUGAAUGCUGCUGACAAAAAUACAAGAGGAAGUGGAUCCAUCCCCAAUCAAGCCUCCAGAAAAGAACACGGUCUUGGCCAAAACCUUGAUGGUAACCUUGGAGAAGACUCAGCUAAGCUGUGCCUGGAUUUCUGACUCACUGAAACUGUGGGAUAAUAAAUGUGUGUUAUUUUCAGCCAAUAAAUUUGCAGUAAUGUUAUUAUGCAGCAAAAGUUAACUAAUUUAUUAUCUUUCAGUACCUUAUCCUUGAUUGAUGUUUGUUCUGUAUAAAAUUGCAUACUUAAAAUAUAUAAUUUUUACUCAAAAUUUUGAAAAAUAAUAGUAUCUUCUAACCCAUAAUGUUGAUAUUUAGAAAUCUGAUACAUUAUAAUUUUUGAACCCUUG